rnacentral:rRNA from 1 species
CGACAGCAAUAUGAAGGUCAGGCUGAAGACCUUACCCGAUUAGCUGAGAGGUGGUGCAUGGCCGUCGUCAGUUCGUACUGUGAAGCAUCCCGUUAAGUCAGGCAACGAGCGAGACCCACGUCCACAGUUGCCAGCAUACCCUCCGGGGUGAUGGGUACACUGUGGAGACCGCCGCUGCUAAAGCGGAGGAAGGAGUGGGCAACGGUAGGUCAGUAUGCCCCGAAUCUCCCGGGCUACACGCGGGCUACAAUGGUUGGUACAAUGGGCAUCUACCCCGAAAGGGGAAGGAAAUCUCUUAAAGCCAAUCGUAGUUCGGAUUGAGGGCUGCAACUCGCCCUCAUGAAGCUGGAAUCCGUAGUAAUCGCGUUUCAACAGAACGCGGUGAAUACGUCCCUGCUCCUU